rnacentral:rRNA from 1 species
GGUGUGGUUGUUGCUGGCCCUCUCGGGGGCAUGUGCACACCCAUCAUCCUCAUCUCUCCACCUGUGCACCUCUUGUAGACCUGGAUUGACUUUCCGAGGCAACUCGGUCGGGAAGAUUGCUGCGCUCUGUGAGCCAGCUUUCUUUGCAUGUCCAGGACUAUGUUUUUCAUAUACCCCUAUAGAAUGUAACAGAAUGUAUCAUUGGGCCUUGUGCCUAUAAACCUUAUACAACUUUCAGCAACGGAUCUCUUGGCUCUCGCAUCGAUGAAGAACGCAGCGAAAUGCGAUAAGUAAUGUGAAUUGCAGAAUUCAGUGAAUCAUCGAAUCUUUGAACGCACCUUGCGCUCCUUGGUAUUCCGAGGAGCAUGCCUGUUUGAGUGUCAUUAAAUUCUCAACCUUAUUAGCUUUUGUUGAUAAUGGAUUGGAUGUGGGGGUUUAUUUUGCUGGCUUCUUCACAGAGAUCAGCUCCCCUUAAAUGCAUUAGCUGGUGACCCGCGUGGACCAUCUAUUGGUGUGAUAAUUAUCUACGCCGUGGAUGUCUGCAAUCAUAUGGGUUUUGCACUGCUUCUAACCGUCUGUUCAUUCGGACAAUACAUGACAAUUUGACCUCAAAUCAGGUAGGACUACCCGCUGAACUUAAGCAUAUCAAUAAGCGGAGGAAAAGAAACUAACAAGGAUUCCCCUAGUAACUGCGAGUGAAGCGGGAAAAGCUCAAAUUUAAAAUCUGGCGGUCUCCGGCCGUCCGAGUUGUAAUCUAGAGAAGUGUUAUCCGCGCUGGAC